UGUGGGAGCGAGCCUGCUCGCGAUAGCGGUAUCAGCCAUAACAUCUGUGUUGACUGAUAUUCCGCCAUCGCGAGCAGGCUCGCUCCCACA
rnacentral:misc_RNA from 1 species